UCCCUAGUAGCUCAGAUGGUAAAGCAUCUGCCUGCAAUGCAGGAGACCUGGGUUCGAUCCCUGGGUUGGAAA
rnacentral:tRNA from 1 species